UCUCCUAAAUUUUAUCAAAUUAUUUAAGAGACACUCUACAACAAAAUAUAUUUUAGACACGCUUUUUAGACGACGCUCUAUUCUAAUAUCUUCAAUAUUUGGUAUGUGUCGACAUCAUGAUUAAACAUCGUCAAUAAAUAUGUUUUUAUUAAAUACUGAUAAAAAUUCUCCGACGCUAUAUUAAAGUGUCGAUAUAUAUAUUUAUACCGACAUAUUUACUUAACAACUUUUUGCUCGACGCUUUUAUAAAUAUCGGAAUUAUUCUCUUGCCGACUCUUUAAAGCAUCACUAGUUAUUGUUUAAAGUAUUGUAAUGAUAUUUUUUUUCUCAAACAAAGUAAUUAA
rnacentral:lncRNA from 1 species